rfam:Oryza nivara chromosome 5, whole genome shotgun sequence.
CUUAAAAAAUUUCAGUCUCCAACGUUUAACUGUCCCUCUUAUUUAAAAAAAUUAUAAAAAAAAUUAAAAGAACAAGUCAUGCAUAAAGUAUUAAUCAUGUUUUAUCAUUUAACAACAAUAAAAAUACUAAUUAUAAAAAAAUUUCAUAUAAGAUGGACAGUCAAAAGUUGGAUACGAAAAUCUAGUAUUUAUC